rnacentral:rRNA from 1 species
UACGUAGGCAGCAAGCGUUGUUCGGAAUUACUGGGCGUAAAGGGUGCGUAGGCGGCGCUCUAAGUUUGGUGUGAAAUCUCCCGGCUUAACCGGGAGGGUGCACUGAAAACUGGGGCGCUUGAGUAUGGGAGAGGAAAGCGGAAUUCCUGGUGUAGCGGUGAAAUGCGUAGAGAUCAGGAGGAACACCCGCGGUGUAGACGGCUUUCUGGACCAUGACUGACGCUGAGGCACGAAAGCGUGGGGAGCAAACAGGAUUAGAUACCCUGGUAGUCCACGCCCUAAACGAUGCAUACUUGGUGUGGGUUCUUCACUGGAUCCGUGCCGGAGUUAACGCGUUAAGUAUGCCGCCUGGGGAGUACGGUCGCAAGGCUGAA